rnacentral:misc_RNA from 1 species
UCCGGUUUAACACCGGCAGUCCCUUCAGAGUGCCCAACUUAAUGGUGGCAACUAAAGGCAAGGGUUGCGCUCGUUGCGGGACUUAACCCAACAUCUUACGACACGAGCUGACGACAGCCAUGCAGCACCUAUCUCCCUGUCCCCGAAGGGAACCCACUAUCUCUAAUGGUGUCAGGGGAUGUUAAGCCCAGGUAAGGUUCUGCGCGUUGCUUCGAAUUAAACCACAUACUCCACCGCUUGUGCGGGCCCCCGUCAAUUCCUUUGAGUUUUAGUCUUGCGACCGUACUCCCCAGGCGGAUUACUUAAUGCGUGAGCUUCGGUACCCAGGAGGUUAACAUCCCGGACACCUAGUAAUCAUAGUUUACGGCGUGGACUAC